UAUAUUACAAAAAACAGGAAAUCUACUGAUCUACCAUCAGGAUUCGCACACAUUGGUGCCCUGCGGGGCAAGUCAGAACACAGACUAGAAAUACUAAUAUGUACCUACUAACAUAAGAGGAAAUGAAAGACCUGUUUUGUUAAAAAAUAUAGUUUUAUUUUAAUUUUAAACAAUUAUUAUAUUAUUAUAAUCCAGUUUUACAUUACCUGUAAUAAAACUAAUAAGUGACCUUUAGAAGAAGUUCUGAAAUCCUUUGUUUAAGAUAAAGGUAACCAUGAUUUUACGCGGGGUUCUCGUAAUUGGCUUUUGCAUACACGGUAUGUCAGAGGAGAAUAUGAUAAAUGCUUGGAACUGGCUGACCACUU